rnacentral:ncRNA from 13 species
GGGCAACCGUGAUGACAGGUUCAGUCUGUAUGUGUAAUGGGUUUCAUUACUACAUGAAGACACCAGUCCCUCUAAGCUGAUGUUGCCG